GAUGAACGCUGGCGGCGUGCUUAACACAUGCAAGUCGAACGAAGCACUUUAUUACGAUUUCUUCGGAAUGACGAUUUGGUGACUGAGUGGCGGACGGGUGAGUAACGCGUGGGUAACCUGCCUUAUACAGGGGGAUAACAGUUGGAAACGGCUGCUAAUACCGCAUAAGCGCACGGUACCGCAUGGUACAGUGUGAAAAACUCCGGUGGUAUGGGAUGGAUCCGCGUCUGAUUAGCCAGUUGGCGGGGUAACGGCCCACCAAAGCGACGAUCAGUAGCCGACCUGAGAGGGUGAGCGGCCACAUUGGGACUGAGACACGGCCCAAACUCCUACGGGAGGCAGCAGUGGGGAAUAUUGCACAAUGGGGGAAACCCUGAUGCAGCGACGCCGCGUGAGCGAAGAAGUAUUUCGGUAUGUAAAGCUCUAUCAGCAGGGAAGAAGAAAUGACGGUACCUGACUAAGAAGCCCCGGCUAACUACGUG
rnacentral:rRNA from 1 species